rnacentral:misc_RNA from 1 species
GAUGAAGAACGUAGCGAAAUGCGAUAAGUAAUGUGAAUUGCAGAAUUCAGUGAAUCAUCGAAUCUUUGAACGCACAUUGCGCCCGCCAGUAUUCUGGCGGGCAUGCCUGUUCGAGCGUCAUUUCAACCCUCAAGCCCCCGGGCUUGGUGUUGGGGAUCGGCGUGCCCUCGCGGCGCGCCGUCCCCUAAAUCUAGUGGCGGUCUCGCUGUAGCUUCCUCUGCGUAGUAGCAACACUCGCACUGGAUCGCAGCGCGGCCACGCCGUUAAACCCCCCACUUCUGAAAGUUUGACCUAGGAUCAGGUAGGAAUACCCGCUGAACUUAAGCAUAUCAAUAAGCGGAGGA